GCCUUUAAGCUCCUGAAUGUGUGUUGGUUUGUUAUUUUAUUCCGACACUGGGAUCCGGCAGGGUGGGUGCUAAAGGGAGAAUUCCUUUUUCAAAACCCAUUUGCACGUCGUAAUGUUUUAUGGAUGCGUGUUUUUAGGCGAACUAAAACAGCUCUCAGGUGGAGCCAAGUUCCUGGGUGCCGCCUGCCGACACUCUGAACAAACCCUUAGAGUCCAGCAGUCUGCAGCUUUGGCAGCGAGAUCCCUGCAGGUGUCAGCAACACAACACAUAUUGAUUUCACAAAAUAGCUUUUAUUGAUUAUUGUUUUUUAAAAAAUAGAACUACUUGCACAAGCACAUUGAGACAACUGCAUCAGAACCUGUGGUCAUCAUCACAUAUAUGCUGUGGCAAAGGAAGAAGUGCGAAAGCAUCCACAAAAAUAAGCUACAGUUAUAUCAAAAUGAUAAAUCUUGCGUUCAGGCAGGAGAGUUGUAACUCUUUGUACUUUUAGGACUCUGGCGCGUUAGAAGCAAAUGAAGUUGCGUGCUGAUGAUGAGCCGGCGCCGCCACGGAAAAAGAGGAAUCUCUUGCUUCAGUUUCUCCGUCGAAUCCUGCAGAUUGUUCCCUCGUAUCCAGAGUGACAGCUUUAAUAAUCAGUUUCUACUGGUCCAGCGAGCAUUUGGAGAAAUGAUAAACACAUAAAGUAACACAAGAAAAGGUGCAUCUGAGUCGUCUUCUUAUAAAGAAGACAUGAUAUGAACAUGAGGAUGGAGCUGUCUGAGGGAAUCGGGAUCCCUCUGCACCUUAUUAUCUCAUAGAUGUCUGUGUACCACGGAUACAUGUGCUUUACUUACAGCAGGAGGUGGGCAACUGGUGGCCUGGGGGGCCAGAUGUGGCCGUCAUCUUAAAUCAGUCUGACCUUCAAAUGCAUUUCCAAUUAACAAAAAUAGAAAUUAUGAAAUAGUUUUAUUUUUAUUAUAUCUCAUCU